rnacentral:rRNA from 1 species
CUACGGGUGGCUGCAGUGAGGAAUAUUGCACAAUGGGGGGAACCCUGAUGCAGCAACGCCGCGUGGAGGAUGACGCAUUUCGGUGUGUAAACUCCUUUUAUAUGUCAAGAAAAUGACGGUAGCAUAUGAAUAAGCACCGGCUAACUCCGUGCCAGCAGCCGCGGUAAUACGGAGGGUGCGAAGCGUUACUCGGAAUCACUGGGCGUAAAGGACGCGUAGGCGGGUUGGAAAGUCAGGUGUGAAAUCCUACAGCUUAACUGUAGAACUGCACUUGAAACUUCUAAUCUAGAGUAUGGGAGGGGGAGAUGGAAUUAGUGGUGUAGGGGUAAAAUCCGUAGAUAUCACUAGGAAUACCUAAAGCGAAGGCGAUCUCCUGGAACAUUACUGACGCUAAGGCGUGAAAGCGUGGGGAGCAAACAGGAUUAGAUACCCCUGUAGUC